GCGUGGAGACAGGUGGUGCAUGGCUGUCGUCAGCUCGUGUCGUGAGAUGUUGGGUUAAGUCCCGCAACGAGCGCAACCCUCACCUCUUGUUGCCAACAGGUCAUGCUGGGCACUCUAGAGGAACUGCCCCGGUCAACGGGGAGGAAGGCGGGGAUGACGUCAAGUCAUCAUGCCCCUUACGUCCUGGGCUACACACGUGCUACAAUGGCCGGUACAAAGGGAUGCCACACCGCGAGGUAGAGCUAAACCCAAAAAGCCGGUCUAAGUUCAGAUUGGAGUCUGCAACUCGACUCUAUGAAGGAGGAAUCGCUAGUAAUCGCGUAUCAGCACGACGCGGUGAAUACGUUCCCGGGCCUUGUACACACCGCCCGUCACACCACGAAAGCCAGCUGUACUCGAAGUCGCUGAG
rnacentral:rRNA from 1 species